GGGACCAUCCUCCAAGGCUAAAUACUCCUGACUGACCGAUAGUGAACCAGUACCGUGAGGGAAAGGCGAAAAGAACCCCGGCGAGGGGAGUGAAAAAGAACCUGAAACCGUGUACGUACAAGCAGUGGGAGCACAGAGCAAUCUGUGUGACUGCGUACCUUUUGUAUAAUGGGUCAGCGACUUAUAUUCUGUAGCAAGGUUAACCGAAUAGGGGAGCCGAAGGGAAACCGAGUCUUAACUGGGCGUUAAGUUGCAGGGUAUAGACCCGAAACCCGGUGAUCUAGCCAUGGGCAGGUUGAAGGUUGGGUAACACUAACUGGAGGACCGAACCGACUAAUGUUGAAAAAUUAGCGGAUGACUUGUGGCUGGGGGUGAAAGGCCAAUCAAACCGGGAGAUAGCUGGUUCUCCCCGAAAGCUAUUUAGGUAGCGCCUCGUGAAUUCAUCUCCGGGGGUAGAGCACUGUUUCGGCAAGGGGGUCAUCCCGACUUACCAACCCGAUGCAAACUGCGAAUACCGGAGAAUGUUAUCACGGGAGACACACGGCGGGUGCUAACGUCCGUCGUGAAGAGGGAAACAACCCAGACCGCCAGCUAAGGUCCCAAAGUCAUGGUUAAGUGGGAAACGAUGUGGGAAGGCCCAGACAGCCAGGAUGUUGGCUUAGAAGCAGCCAUCAUUUAAAGAAAGCGUAAUAGCUCACUGGUCGAGUCGGCCUGCGCGGAAGAUGUAACGGGGCUAAACCAUGCACCGAAGCUGCGGCAGCGACGCUUAUGCGUUGUUGGGUAGGGGAGCGUUCUGUAAGCCUGUGAAGGUGUGCUGUGAGGCAUGCUGGAGGUAUCAGAAGUGCGAAUGCUGACAUAAGUAACGAUAAAGCGGGUGAAAAGCCCGCUCGCCGGAAGACCAAGGGUUCCUGUCCAACGUUAAUCGGGGCAGGGUGAGUCGACCCCUAAGGCGAGGCCGAAAGGCGUAGUCGAUGGGAAACAGGUUAAUAUUCCUGUACUUGGUGUUACUGCGAAGGGGGGACGGAGAAGGCUAUGUUGGCCGGGCGACGGUUGUCCCGGUUUAAGCGUGUAGGCUGGUUUUCCAGGCAAAUCCGGAAAAUCAAGGCUGAGGCGUGAUGACGAGGCACUACGGUGCUGAAGCAACAAAUGCCCUGCUUCCAGGAAAAGCCUCUAAGCAUCAGGUAACAUCAAAUCGUACCCCAAACCGACACAGGUGGUCAGGUAGAGAAUACCAAGGCGCUUGAGAGAACUCGGGUGAAGGAACUAGGCAAAAUGGUGCCGUAACUUCGGGAGAAGGCACGCUGAUAUGUAGGUGAAGUCCCUCGCGGAUGGAGCUGAAAUCAGUCGAAGAUACCAGCUGGCUGCAACUGUUUAUUAAAAACACAGCACUGUGCAAACACGAAAGUGGACGUAUACGGUGUGACGCCUGCCCGGUGCCGGAAGGUUAAUUGAUGGGGUUAGCGCAAGCGAAGCUCUUGAUCGAAGCCCCGGUAAACGGCGGCCGUAACUAUAACGGUCCUAAGGUAGCGAAAUUCCUUGUCGGGUAAGUUCCGACCUGCACGAAUGGCGUAAUGAUGGCCAGGCUGUCUCCACCCGAGACUCAGUGAAAUUGAACUUCUCUGGGAUGCGGACAGUGUCUGGUGGGUAGUUUGACUGGGGCGGUCUCCUCCUAAAGAGUAACGGAGGAGCACGAAGGUUGGCUAAUCCUGGUCGGACAUCAGGAGGUUAGUGCAAUGGCAUAAGCCAGCUUGACUGCGAGCGUGACGGCGCGAGCAGGUGCGAAAGCAGGUCAUAGUGAUCCGGUGGUUCUGAAUGGAAGGGCCAUCGCUCAACGGAUAAAAGGUACUCCGGGGAUAACAGGCUGAUACCGCCCAAGAGUUCAUAUCGACGGCGGUGUUUGGCACCUCGAUGUCGGCUCAUCACAUCCUGGGGCUGAAGUAGGUCCCAAGGGUAUGGCUGUUCGCCAUUUAAAGUGGUACGCGAGCUGGGUUUAGAACGUCGUGAGACAGUUCGGUCCCUAUCUGCCGUGGGCGCUGGAGAACUGAGGGGGGCUGCUCCUAGUACGAGAGGACCGGAGUGGACGCAUCACUGGUGUUCGGGUUGUCAUGCCAAUGGCACUGCCCGGUAGCUAAAUGCGGAAGAGAUAAGUGCUGAAAGCAUCUAAGCACGAAACUUGCCCCGAGAUGAGUUCUCCCUGACUCCUUGAGAGUCCUGAAGGAACGUUGAAGACGACGACGUUGAUAGGCCGGGUGUGUAAGCGCAGCGAUGCGUUGAGCUAACCGGUACUAAUGAACCGUGAGGCUUAACCUUACAACGCCGAAGCUGUU
rnacentral:rRNA from 1 species